rnacentral:misc_RNA from 1 species
UACGUACUGUGCGAGCGUUAUUCGGAAUCACUAGGCUUAAAGGGUGCGCAGGCGGCUGAAAAAGCAGGGUGUGAAAUGCUUCGGCUCAACCGAAGAACUGCGCUCUGAACUGUUCGGCUUGAGUGAGAUAGGGGUGUGCGGAACUUCCAGUGGAGCGGUGAAAUGUGUUGAUAUUGGAAGGAACGCCGGUGGCGAAAGCGGCACACUGGUUCUCAACUGACGCUGAGGCACGAAAGCCAGGGAAGCGAACGGG